rnacentral:lncRNA from 1 species
CGGGGACCCUCUCUUGCGCCAGGCUGCCCUGGUGUCCCAGGGGCCCCAUGGGGUGUCGGGGCACACCCAGAACACGUGACGCCCCUCUGUUGCCUUCGUAGUCCUGGAACCACGGUCGGGAGCAAAACAGACCAACAGAGGAGACAGGACUAAGUGAGAACUGUCCACAGGCUUGGAACACGCCGCGGGCAAAGAGGACCUGGGCCCAGCCCCUCAGGCACUUUCGGCUCUGCGGGUCUCAGAGGGCCUGUGUGCCGUCGGCGGGUGCUAUCACCUCCCACCUUGUGGGUCUGUUCCCGGGGGAGAUGGGUCUCAGGGGGAGGCGGCUGGCAUGGCAGGUGCGCAGCCCUGGAAGAGAAAGAAGCAAAGUGCCCACCUAUGCCAGCAAGAAGAGGUGGACUAGGCAUGCACAGAGGGGCCGGGGCAGGGCAGAGGCCCAGGAAGAACCACCCAGAGGCUCAGAGGUGCCCCGGGGAAGGGGCCAGAGCUGGACACGGGUGGUGGUGGGGUUUCCCCAGAACACACAGUGGUGGGGGCAGGGUCUUGGAGCCUGGGGAGGUGUGGGCAUCCUCCUGUUCACCCCAGGGAGAACAGGUCGCUGGAGGAGGACUCUUUGAAAAUACAAAGUCAGAAUUUCCCUAGGUUAAAGAUGAACAGCUCGAGCAGGAAGGGCUCACAGCUCCAGCAGGAGGGUGGGGCCCAAGGCAUCGAGGCAUCUGACAACAGGCCCUGGGGCUCAAAGGCACGUUUGUCCCCCUCCCCAUCGCUCAGCGACCCCCUCCCCAUCACUCAGCGACCCCCUCCCCAUCGCUCAGUGUCCCCCUCCACAUUGCUCAGUGUCCCCCUCCCCAUCGCUCAGCAACCCCCUCCCCAUUGCUCAGCGACCUCUGCUGCUGCUCCCGGGUUCUGCCUGGGGGACCUUCCACCUUUCCUAUGGGCUCCCCAGCCCUUCUCACCCAGGGAGGCCCCUGGAGCACUGAUUCAGGGCCCUCCCCACCUGCAGGGGUCGACUCACACGCUCCAGCUUUCGUGUACAUAGCCAGUGACACUUCACAAAGUUUUCCAAUUUGUUUUCAUCGUAGUAAAAGAUACACAAUGUAAAAUGUACCAUGGUAACCACUUUUUAAAAGUUUUUUAAAUUGAAAGAGUAAUACAUGCCAUGGUAAAAUUUAAAUAGCACCUAAAAGUAUGCAGUGAACAGUGCAUUCCCUACCAGAGUCAACCAUGGCCAACAGUGCUUGUGUGUUUUAUAUUGUGUUAAAACAUGCAAUAACAACAUUUACCAUCUUUUUUUUUUUUGGUGGGGGGGUUAAGAUGGGUCUUGCUCUGUCACCCAGGCUGGAGUACAUCAUAGCUCACUGCAGCCUCGACCUCCUAGGCUCAAGAGAUCCUCCCACCUCAGCCUCCCAAGUAGAUGGGACCACAGGUGCACCACCACGUCCAGCUAAUUUUUUGUAGAGACAGGGUCUCGCUAUUUUGCCUAGGCUGAUCUCGAAAUCCUGAGCUCAAGCAAUCUGCCUGCCUCAGCUUCCCAAAGUGCUGAGAUUACAGGUGUGAGCCACCGUGCCCGGCCAUCUUGACCAUUUCUAAGUAAACAGCUCAGGAUUGUGAAGGAACAUUGAUGGCGCACAACUUUUGCCACUAUCAUUUCCAGAGCCCUUCAUUGUCCAAAACUGAAGCGGUUCCCAUUCAACACCAGUGCCCCCGUCCAUGCUCCCCAGCCCCUGGCGCCACCACCCCACUUUCUGUCUUUAUACCUUCGACUCCUCUAGGAUCUCCUAUAAGUGGACUUGGGCAGGAUCUGUCUUUUUUGGGACUGGUGUAUUUCACUCAGCAUAAUGUCAUCAAGGGUCACCCAUGAGUCAGAAUCUCCUUCCUUUUUAAAGCUAAGUAAUAUUCCGCUGUAUGUAUAUAUCACACUUUGCUUAUCCAUUUCUCCAUCGAUGGACUUCAGCUGUUUUAGGUACAAGUUUUAAAUUUUCAUAAAGCCCAAUUUGUCUAUUUAUUAUCUUGUUGCCUGUACCUUUGGUGUCAUACCCAAAAAAGCCACUAUCAAACGGAAUGUGUUGGAGCUUUUCCUCUGUUUCUUCUCAGAGUUUUAUGGAUGUAGCUCUUGUAUUUAGGUCUUUCAUCCAUUUUGAGUUAAUCUAUUUUUUUUUUAGAGACAAGGUCUCGUUCUGUGGCUCAGGCUGGAGUGCAGUGGCAUGAUCGCUGCUCACUGCAGCCUCUACCUUGGUCUGCCAGGGUGCUGGGACUACAGACGUGUACCACCACACCUGGCCCGAGUUAGGGUGAUUAGGGUGGUUGGUGAAGAUCCAGCUUCCUCCUUUUGCAUGUGAAUACCCAGUUUCCCAAGGACGCCUCGCACUCCACCCAGCUCCACAACAAACAAACCACAUCUGCCCUUGCUCCAGAAACUGCCAGCUCAAGCAUCCCCAAGCCAAGACGCGACAAUGUGGAAAACACCGCGAACAGGGCAAACAGAACAUUCUCCACAUGGACACAUGUUACGUCUUCAAACGGGCCUCAGAAUGGCCUGAGAAGUGGAAGCAGCCCCUGGAGACAGACAGACGAUGAAGCAAUGCCUGCAAAAUGCUGGAGGAAAGUGACUUCCAGCCUAGACUUCUUUUUUUUUUGAGAUGGAGUCUUGCUCUGUCGCCCAGGCUGGAGUGCAGUGGCGUGAUCUCAGUUCACUGUAGCCUCCACCUCCUAGGCUGAAGUGAUUCUCCUGCCUCAGCAUCCCGAGUCGCUGGGUGGCAUGCACCACCAUGUCUGGCUAGUGUUUCAUAUUUUUAUUAGAGACAGGGUUUCACCAUGUUGGCCAGGCUGGUCUCAAACUCCUGGUCUCUUGUGAUCCACCUGCCUCAGCCUCCCAAAGUGCUGGGAUUACAGGAGUGAGCCACCACGCCUGGCCCUAGCCUAGACUUCUAUACCCAGCCCAGCUAUCAUUCAAGGAUGAGAGUGUAAUAGACAUUCUCAGAUAGGCACGGUGCUCAAAAUGUGUCUUCCACGCACCCUGUCGCAGGAAGUGGCUGCAGGAUGGGCUCCACCAGAGCAGGGGGAGGGAGCCUUCAGAGGGCUGUGAAGGGAGGUGUCUGGAGGCCAGCUGUGCCCACGUGGGAGCUGGCCGUUGAGAGUAGAGGGUGUGACAGCAGGUGGCGCCCGUGGUGCAGCUAGGAUGCUGCUUCUCCACCGCACCUGCUCUGACUCAUGCCUGGGACCUGGGAGACGGUGGCGAGGCGCUGGGGGGUUACAAGCAGAACUGCAGAGCAGCCCCUGCCAGCCUCGUCACACGCCCUGACUGUGGGGACCUGGGUAUCCUUAGAAUCCUCUAGUCCCCACCCACUGAUGGCCCUGAAUGGCUCCUGUGAAGUCCCCGGGAGGCUGAAGACACCUUGACCCCAGGCUCUGUUCAGUUCUCUUCUCUUGAGACUUUCAGCUGACAGGGUGAGGUUGAGCCCACUGUGAGAUUAGGCAAGACAAAAGAUAAUAUAGCUUAGGACAUGCAAAACAGGCUGGGUCACUGGCUCACGCCUUGAUAGCACUUUGUGGGGGCCAAGGAGGGAGGACUGCUUGAACCUAGGAGUUUGAGACCAGCCUGGGCAACAUAGCGAGACCUCAUCUCUACAAAAAAUAUAAAAAAUUGGCUGGGCAUAGGGGCGCACACCUGUAGUCCUCACUACUUAGGAGGCUGAGGUGGGAGGAUCACUUGAGCACAGGAGGUCCAGGCUGCAGUGAAUCAAGAUUGCACCGCUGCACUCCAGCCUGGGCAAGGGUGAGACCCUGUCUAAAACAAAAACAACACCCCCACCAAAAAAAGAAAAACAAAAAACAACCUAUCAUCACCAAAACUCCCUAUCAUAGGUGAAAAGAAAAGGCUUUUCCAGAUGCCCAGAAAAAACAGCAGUUCCCAGGCUCUCCCUGCCAAGCACCUCACGAAGGCAGGACCUUCAGCCUGGGAGGAAGCCUUUGUGUACUCAGCCUCUUCUGCAGCGCACUCCUGGGUUGCAGGUGCUCCAACCUGCUCAGCCCCUUUGCUUAGUGAAGCCGCCCUAUUCCUACUCAGUGCAGAAGCUUGGCUGCACACACACUCACACACACACCCCCCACACAUACCCCCCCACACUCACACACACGCACACAUACCCCCACACACACACCCCCUAUACACACCCCCACAUAUAC